AGCUUUGCGCAGUGGCAGUAUCGUAGCCAAUGAGGUUUAUCCGAGGCGCGAUUAUUGCUAAUUGAGUUUUCCACAUAAAGUAACAUAUCAUCUGCAAAGAGUGAGAGUUUGACUUCUUCUUUGCUGAUUCAGAUGCCUUUAAUUUCUUUUUGUUGUCUGA
rnacentral:snRNA from 1 species